ACGUAAUCAUGUAGUCAAUCCGGUUUUCUCAAAGGCUGAACCAAAAAUAGUUUUUCUAAAAAUGUCCAAAAAUAGAUUUUUUUGGUUUCUUAUUUCCGCUCUGUCACUUCUUAAAACAAGUGCAUCAUUAGAAAAAGACUUUCUUUUGUGUGGAGACUGCACUAAGGCAAACAAGGACGUGUGCUCAAUCGAAAGUGAUUCGGGAUAUUAUGUGGCGCCAAGCAUUAUUCCUAAAUCGAUUGAUCUGAGAUUUUCCGUACUUCCUCCGCAAACCGCUGACCUGAACGUGUGCAUUCCUAGCAACAUGGAAAUUUAUGCAAAAGAUGCUGAUUUCCGAUAUAUUUGUGUUUGGUCAGCCGAACUCGGUUGUCAGAUUCUAACACGUAAGGACGACGAGCGCCUAGGGUGUGCGAUGUGCCGAUUGAGGAACUUAGAUGGAACACCAGAUUGCCUCUUAGGCAAAAAAUAAGCAAGGGCAAGCACAUAAAGGCAAAGUCGGGACCAAGGAACUUCUGUACCGCAUCUCUGCAUAUUAUGAUCCUUGCUUUUGUUGUGCAGCAGACUUAUAAAUUCACUAAGACCAUGCUGAGAUGUCAAUUGAAUUCAGCUGGUUCACCACCGUGAAUUCUAUCACACAGUCCGGACAAUUUCGUUUUUAAUUUAACCCUAUAUUUGAUCCCCUAGGGUCAAAGGUGUGCAAUCCAAACAGUGUUUGCCCAGAACUUGUAUACAAUGCCAUGCUAGGUCUUCGAAUAAAGAGCAUCGGCUGUA